CGGGUGCCUUACGCUCAGCACUUGUCUCUGGGAUCGUACCGGUCUCCUCCGGGGCCGGCUGUGCAGCUCCCUGCUCAUAAAGGAACACAGAGCCUGAGGAGUUUGAGGCAGCCUAUCAAUCAUGGGAUGGAUGCCGGGGGCAAGUGAGGUCAUUAAGUCAACCAUCCACUAUGAACACAGCUGCAUCCAUCAUUCUAGAAAGAUUCUUUUCUUAAAUACCACUUGGAGGAGUCUUCCACCAAAGCCUGAACACGCUUCUACUCCCAGGGCCUCCACAUUCCACGGAUGGCUGAUGGAGAAGAAUCCCAGGUCAUCUAUGGACACCUCUCCUUCUGUAUCCCCAGAACGUGAUGUGCACAGGUGCAUAAAGGAAAUUUAAAUUUGUGAGUACUAUUAUGUGCUGAACAUCAUGCUAGUUGUUUUUCUAUUUUAUUUCACAUUUGUGAGCACAGAAUAUGGAAACAGCCUGAGAACUGGACAGAGAGGCCUGGGGUGAUCAGCGGGGUGAAAAAAGUAAGAAAGGGGUUCUUUUAUUGAUUGACUGAUUGAUUUUUAUGAUAUGAAUUAAUUAUAGUAAACUGAAGUCGUCUUAAA